UGGAGUUCUAUGAAAUUUUGA
rnacentral:piRNA from 1 species